AUGUAUUCUUGGGAGUUCCCAGCGACUUUGAUGUAUGUUGGAACAGUUUUGCCAUGUAGAAGCACACUUUUAAGGUCAAGAUCCCCACAAGAUCAAAAUGGUAGAAGGUCUGGCGUGCUGGCGCUGCUUUUGAGCGUGGCACAGAUGGGCUGGAUCCUCGGCCACAUCGCCCUCAUCGUCUGCGCCUACAUCACCUACUACACCCCGUCCUCCUCUCCUACUGCUACCGCUGGCCGGAACCCGUCCACGCAAACGGAACUACACUUGUACAUGGACGCCGUCCGCUCCUGUCUUGGGCCUAGAGAUGUAGCUAUAUAUGUGUGGCAUUGCACAGUACAAGAUUCUCUAUGCAUCACAGUUGCCACGGGCAUCAUGUCCGUGGUGCCCAGCAACUGCCGCCAUUAA
rnacentral:rRNA from 1 species